rnacentral:misc_RNA from 1 species
GUGAGUCAUCGAAUCUUUGAACGCACAUUGCGCUCUCUGGUAUUCCGGGGAGCAUGCCUGUUUGAGUAUCAGUAAAAUCUCUCAUAUACGCACUCGCUUUAUUGUGGAUGUGUAUGUGGAUAUGAGUCUUCCCAGGCGAAGGUAACUUCUGGAACUGGGUGACUUAAAAUAAAUGGUUUGGCUGGGACUCUCUAAGAUCCAAUGGCCGAAAAGCGCGACAAGGACUGAAGGGCUCCGGCCUGAUAAGUUUAAUCCGCUGAACUCGGUGUUUUUGGAAUUUAUUCUUGGGAGCUAAAUCCA